UGGCGGCUCUCUGUUGCCUAGCGGUCUCAAGUGACGGCCCGAGGUUGCAGCCUUUCUUCAGCCUGCCGCAAGAGGCGCUUUUCGAGCAAGUGGAUGGGGCGGUGACACGCACUUGCUGACAGACUUAUGUUGCUGAGUACGUGAAAGUUCGUGGCCAUUCCAUGAGGUCGCCCACCCGCAUCGCCCGGCCGCCGUCCCCCUGGACCGCUGGCUGCUGGUGCUGACUGCCCGCUCCUCUGAUGUCAUGCUGACAGACAGACUUUCAGACGGACUUGGGGCUGACAGCAACAAAAAGUCGCGGAAAAUAUAAAUAAGGUGGGCCUAGGUGAGUGACUGCUGCCGUAAGAGUGCGCCAGAGCUUAUGAGAG